rnacentral:lncRNA from 1 species
CAGGAAGCUCCAGAUCGUACUCCGGAGGAACUCCAUACUGAACCCUUAUCAGUAGGAGUUCGUCCGGAGUCAGAGAACAGGGAAUGGCAUCCGGUGCAAGAAUCGGACGAGGUCCAACCCUAGUUGUGGGUUCAUCUAUGGUAUGAGGGUUCUGAGGGACUGAGGCAGACGAACUCCUGGAACCGCUGGAGGCGGAGGUGCUAAAAGAUAUUUCAAGCAAAAACCCUAAAAUCCCA